GACGGCUGAUUUCGCAGCGCCACGAGGCGCUGAGCCCCAGCCCGGGCCGCCCCGGGCAUCAGCGAGCCGCGUCGCCACGAAGCAGAACUCGCGCUUGGACGAUGCCCGCCGGCGCUGGCCGACCGCCGUCUCGCCGCAGGAGCGGGUGGACGUGGGAGCGCUCGGAUAUUCCUUUGUCAUUUUUCAUGUAUGGACUGAGUCGUGAUCAUAAUUUUAUGAUGGUAGAUUUCAUUGAAGAGUGGGAAGUAAGACUCAACAGAUGGUUCAUCUUCUCGAAAAGGAUUUGAUAAUCUCCACAUGAUGCUCUUUCUAAAAAAUUCUGAGACUUGACAGUGGCAAAAUAAACAUGAUGAGUGAAGAGAAAUAAGGUAGUCUUGAUGGCCAUUUUUAAUAAAAUUCAAAGGAAAAUAAAACUAUUCUUGAACCUCUUUUGCUAUUUUAUUUCCAGUUUUCUGUUAACUUUGUGUGAAGAGG
rnacentral:lncRNA from 1 species